UUUACUGGCAGAUAAGCUUAAUUAGGGAGUAACAAUAAAUGUGUGGGAGAGGUUCCAUAAUGUUCUGUUGAAACCCAGAUGACCUAUGUAGGCAGAGAGAAAAGGCUUUUAAAGAGAUAGCUGAGGAAGCGACAAAUGACCUAAACUGUUUCUUCUUAACCCAGACAGCUCCCUGCUGAGUUUGAUUCUUCUGUAUUUGUCAGUAUAAACAGAUAAUGUCGUGUUUAGGUGCCUGAAAUAUAACCCUUUAACCUGUCUUCAGCCCCUAGUUUAAGGAAAAUAGAGCAAGAAGAUCCCUGGGACCAAGAUUUCAGAAGACUGCUUUCCAAACUGUGGCGGCUGCAAAAUAGGAGGCUCAGAAAAGCAGGAGCUGAUACAGAAAGCUGGUGCGUGUUACUGGCCGGCAGCUGUGGUUCACAUCAGGAGCGGAUCCAUUUCUGGGGUUAGAAACAAAACUAUGGUCACUCUCAGCCCCAUUUGACCUCUCAAGUACAGGCUCUGGACUCAAAAGCAGGAAUUAGCAGGCUUCAGCUUCUCCUUCGCAACAAACUGUGAAGAGCUUCAGCAGGAGGUUGGCUUCAGGGAGAGGCAAUGUAUCGGAACACAUUGCAAAAGACACUUCUUGCAAGAAAACAUGAGGAAGAUGUCUUUGGCUGAUGACACAGUUCAGUUGCAAGACGCAGUACUUCACGAGGCUCGCAGAAGGAACCUGACACAGGUCUGCUGCAAUUUAUACCAGCUGCAACACAUAUAUAUGGAAAAUCUGGGGACAGACUAGGUUGGAUGUUGCUGCAGUCUUGCCUUAGCUCUGCCUCAGCCAGGAUGGGAAGGUAAAAUGAGAACUCUGCUCCUUCUUUAGCCUCUCAUCACUGGCCAUGAGGGGUUUUAUACAAACAGUCCCAUUCCGAUGCGGCUUGAGGGCAUCUGUUGAGAAUGGUUGGCCCCUUUCUUCAGGCUGUAGCCACUUGUGCAGCCCAGUCGUGGAAGAAUUUUGCUGCCUCAGGCAACUGUCUUUCUGCCUGUGUGAGAGGCAGCCCACCUCCACCCCUGCCCUUGACUGUAGAGGGUCAGAAGAACUCUCCUGUUAGGAAGGCACCCCACCAGAGAGCUCUGCUGGAUGUCUCCGAAGUGCUUUCAAAGCUGCAGAUGAAGGCUCAUAGGUGUUCAGUGAUACUACAGUGAUUCUACUGUUUCUGAAAGGAAAGAUCUUCCCACCAGACCUGUUAGGUCCUUCGGAUUCAGCCAAGCUCUGUCAGUUGACUCCAUUGGAUCUGACUUGUGAAGCCUCUGCUUGAUAUAGGUGUGAAUUAAUUCAGCUUUGUUCCAAGCACACCAACAGAGGCAUGAGUGAGAGAAAAAUAAUGCAGCUGAGCAUCUUUCAGAAAACUCAGAACCACACUUUGCGUGUAGGUCAUUGUCAUCAGUGCCUGGCAAGCCUUGUUAGAGGGUUUUAUUUUAAACACCGGGAGAAAGGAGGAACUCAGUUUUGGAAACAGAUGGGUAAUGCACCUGGGCCAUUAGUGCCUGUUGACCUCAGAAAGAUAGCAACUUUGUGUGGUGGGGCAUGUUUUGUUAGAUACUAGAGAAAAGAGUUUUCUGUCUGAAUUUUGUGUUGAAGAGGUCUUACUACUAGAGCUAAUUAAUGCUGUGUGUCCAGUGGCAAGUGUCAGCAGCAGCUCUUCUGAAAGGAUAACAAAGGCGAUUAGCAUCAUUUGCAGUAGUUCUAAGAUAACCCAUUUCUAUGAAUCAGUAAUAAAACCUUACUCUCAGCAAAUCCCCAGAAAUUACAGUUUUUGAAAAGUUAAGGAUUUAUUUGUAGGUAUCGGAGUAUUUUACUGCUUCUUCUCUAUACCUUGCUGGCUUUUUUUCUGUAGUCCCAUCACCAGCUACCAGACUUGAACACCAUCUCCAAGGGAAGAAAAUGAAGCAUCAACAAUGGCAAAGACCUGCCUACUGCAGGAUUAUUCUGAACAGCCUGUUCCUGACUGUUUUGCUCAGUCUACUUCUAAAUGAUUCAGUGAUAAAAAUGUCACCCUUUUCCAUUCCAAGACAACUCACAAAUGGAAAGGUUUUUGCUCCUAACCUAAAUGCAAGGAUAUUGUCAUGGUAUGUCAUUUUGGGUCACUCUUGUACCCCUGACUAAGGAGUUUUCUGCCUCGAUGCAUCAGGAAGAUACAUGGGUUAAGCUAAAAUUUACAGCAUCUUUCUGGUUCCUCACUCACCACCCCCACCCUUUCCCCCCUGCUAUUUGUUGUAGUGCAUGAGGAGAAGAGAGCAAGCGUGUCUCUUGGGUUUGACGGCUCCCUUCUGCUUCUCCGUCUUCUGUGGCCGCUGCUUUUGCUGCUUUGCCUGUUAACUGAAUGGCUGAUUUCCUGGCACGGGGACAACGCCGGUCCCUUGGCGGGAAGCUGAGCACACGCAGUAUUGCCAAGCAACACUUUCCAAUGGAUUGUGUGUGCCACAACUCUUGCUUGGUGUCACGUGCUGCAGUCUUCUGAUUUUUUUUUCCCCUUCCAUCCAGAGAAAAUGCAUAUGCAUAGGGAUGUGGGAGUGAGUGGGUAGAAAUGGGAUCUUAGGAGGCUGGGGGAAAGUAUCAGGGUAGAAGGGCCAGGAUUCCUUAAGGACACAGAUACAGCUAGAAAAAUAUUUAUAUUUUGGUCUGUUUAAGAGCUUUGUAUAGAAGCUGGACUGUACUGGACCAUUCUAUGUCGUAGCUGCUGAGAUGCCCAUGCGUGUCUCAGGAGAGCAUGGGUUGCUUCCCAGUCCACCAACACGAGUGUCUGUCAUUGCCCUCUGCAAACCUCAGCGGGACACAGCAGGUCCUGCCCUGGAGCCAGGCAAAGCUCAGGUGAAAAUGUGGUGCUCUGAGCAUCUGAGCAUGUUUUCUACACUGCUCAUUUUGGUUCCAACUGUUUCUCCUCCUUUUCUCAACAGUGCUCUGCCUUAAAUGACUGAUAGUCCCUGUGUGACAUCUUAGUGACCAUUUUGCUUUGAAAACAUGAGUGUUGGUGCAAGGAAAACUUUCUUUGCUUCCUGCUUGAGGAAAGGCAGCUUGAAGACUGCUCUUCAGAGAUGGAAAAGGACAGAUGUCCCAUCCUGGAAUUUCUUGUUUGGCACUGGAGCUUGCUUUCUGCUUGGGAUACCAGAGUUACAUAGCAGGUGUGCAUGCCCAUAUAAAAAAGGGUAUACUGUACUGUGUGGGAAUGGGUUUGGGUUUUGGGCUUCUCUGGCUCCAAAGGGCUAAGAAGAUAAUUCCUUUUCCUGUCCCAAACCUAUUGAGACUAUGAACAAGGGGAGUGGAUUUCAUCCUGAAAGAACAUCUUCGGUGAUAGAUGACAAGCAUUCGUUUUGGGUUUGGUCCCAAAACUGUUCCCAAAUCAGGCAAGAGAACUGAAUGCAGUCCUUGAAGCACUCACACCAGUUCUAAAUGUCCUUUUCACCUCUGAACAGGCACUUCUGGAUUUUAUUGCUCUUUGUAGUAGCCUGAGUAGAGACACCAUUGCGCUGCUGCGGGCCUAUGCCCAGUGGUCUCCACUGUGGGGCCUUUUCUCUCCUGCAUUUCUUGCUGAUCUUCACUGCUGCUUAUUCCGAAAGACGACUGGAUGAGGGCUUUGGGAUUUGGCUUCAGGACUUGGAGAUGAUGCUUUAAAUGCAAGGAAAAUGGAAUGAGUGAAAGCAUCUUUAUUCAAGAGCUCUCUCCCCACCCCUCAAGCCUGCCACCAGAGACACAUUCGUGGCUCUCAACUGUCUACCUGGGAUAGUGGGUACCAGCCACCACCUCAAAUACAGCAUAGAAGUAAGAAUGGUGCUGAUAACGACGUGGGAAUCAAAGAGGCAAUGAAACUCUCAAUCUGGAUGUUGCAAAUCUCGUCCCAUGAAUGGAGUGAGUGAAUUCGCAAUAACACUGCAAUUGGUGCAAUGGCAGCUUGUCAGGCGGCUACUGGAGCAAGUAGAAGCACUCAAGCUGUGGUAAAUAUACUCUGCAUCACAAUUAUGUAACAGACCGCAUCCUAUCCUGCACUCAUUUGCUGAACAAAAAGGGCCAGCUCCUCAGCUGGUGCAAAUUGGGGUGGUGCCACUGACUUCGAUGGAUGAGGACUUAACCCUGGGAUGAUUCUCGACAAUCCCGCUCUCGAUUUCUUUAUCUCCUGCCAUUUAGAGAGGAACCUGUGUUCUUACCUUCUGCUGCGUGUGCGACUUAAUUGAUUUCUAUUUUUUUAGAUGCUAUUUGUUAAUUCACAUUGUGUAUUUUGCCGACCAAUUAUAUGCAUGGCCAUAUUGUGUGACUGCAGCAGUCUGGUGCAGUGCAAGGAAUGCCACAUCAUGUGAGACGUUUCAUCUCCAUGAGUAACCUAGUCACUGUGGUAAAUGAAUACAUGAAUACAGUACAUCCAGGAGAGAUUAAACGUAUUGACCGGUGCCUCUAGUCACCAUACAAAUGUCAUUGUUUUUUAAAUUUUUUCCCCCCCUUUCUUGUUUUCUCGACACAUUUUGGUCCCCUUUUCGCUUCUCCCCUUUUCCCUUAAGUAGAGAUGACACAGAUCAAUACCUUUGAUGGAAAGUAAUAAUCAGGCCUAUUAAGUGACAAAGGUUUACUCUGUAACAGCUGUGCUGGCGGGAGAGGAGAGCUUGUCUGACUAAUGAAUCAUGAAACAAUCAGGCAGUAGCCAUUUGUGUUUAGAUCUGUAAAUAUGGUGUGGUUCAAGUGCCAGACCAUCUCCAGCACUCCAGCUGGGGGCACAGAUGGUCCGCAUUCAGAACAGCACAAGUGUAAAGAAAAGCUUCCCCCCCUCCCUCCCCCCUCCCCAUCCCUUUUCCUUUUCUGUCCCAUACUGCCCCUCUCAGAGGAACCGAUCGGCUAGCUUUAGGAUAAAGUUAUGCUGUGGGAAGUCAUAAUGUUGGCCCCUCAGACUGAGCAGCUCUCAGCAAAAUGCAUGCUGUUGUGCUUGUCCAAGAGGGGAAAAACCACAGCGAAGCCCACAAUUGAUUUAUGCUGUUUGAGGGACUCUUAUAUUUUUGACUAAAAAUUACUGUUUGUUCCUUGCUUCCUACCCCUUCCAUUUCUUCUUCAUGCCCGAAUAACAGAUUUCCUUCUGAAAGGCAUGAUGACGUCAGCUUUCUAGCACCUAGAGGACAAUUGAGCAUCACAUCAGGAAUUCAAAGCUGGAGCGCAGGCCCAGCAAGAGAGGGAGAGAAAUAAAGUUGUCAGGGAGUUCAAGCUGUUUCCACUGUCUUGACUUCAGCUGAGAGUGCAGCCUCCAGUACUGGUUGUUUAUGCAGCUUUUCCUCCCUUCUCUUAGAGGAGGCCAGGGAUCCCAGCUGACACAGAAGAAGCUUCCGAUUCUUUUUUCCAAGAGCUAGUACCAUGGUAAUGAAUAUGCGUUGAGUGCUUUCUCACCUGCAAAGAGAACAGCAUAUCAAGUAGU